UGCGUAGGCGGUUUACUAAGUCAGAUGUGAAAGCCCCGGGCUUAACCUGGGAACUGCAUUUGAUACUGGUAGGCUAGAGUAUGAUAGAGGGGGGUAGAAUUCCUGGUGUAGCGGUGAAAUGCGUAGAUAUCAGGAGGAAUACCAGUGGCGAAGGCGGCCCCCUGGAUCAAUACUGACGCUGAGGUACGAAAGCGUGGGUAGUGAACA
rnacentral:rRNA from 1 species